AUUAUAACCUUAGAAUACAUAAAGGAACUAUAGGAGAUACAUCUAUGGUAAAACGUCAAUUUGCAAAUAUUAACCAUAGAAAAUUUUGGAAACAUGUCGAUAAAUUUCAGCAAAGAUAUCAUCAAUUGUAUAAAGAAUAUAUGUCGAAGAUUGUUUUUAAAUAGAAACUAAUAUAUUCUAUAAUAAAUGAAAGUUAUAGAAAGAUUCUACAAUUUACACUAAAGUGGGAUUAUAUAGACUAUGAACAAGAUAAAUUCUGAAGUAAAUAUUAAUAUUACAUAACUUUUAAAAGUUUCAUUGUCAAGAAUCAUUAUAAUUCGUAUAAAAUGAUUUUUAUGGGAUAUGGAUAUUAAUAUUAGUAUUGGUAUUAAGGAGGAGCGCUCUAAAGAGCGUCCAAAAUGCCACCUUUUCCAUAGAAGGAUCGUUUCGAAGACUUCCAAUCUUGCUCAUGUUAAAGCAGGGCACUCGGUAAGCAGAAAAUAUGGGGCCUUCUCUCUUUUCAUGCAAUCGGAUAUGGGUAAAGAUAAUUUCUAAAAUUUAGUUGACUGAAAAUUAAUGUUUCAUAAAGAGAAUUGUAGUUAUUUUUAUAUUAAGGAAAUAUCAGUAAAUAUGAAAGUCCAAAAUUGAAACAAACAAGGAACUGUCAUCAUGAAAAAUCGUUACAUUUCAACUGGGAUGAUUUGAAUCAAAGAUAAAUAAAGGUGUCUCGUAAAAUUAUAUUAAUUAAAAAUUGUUAUCUAAUGUAAUGAAAUUUAGUUAUUUUUAUAUUAUAAGAACAUACAAUGAAUGUUUAAAUCACCAUCCAAAGUAUUAGAAAUUAUGAUAGACACAACUACAGUCAAAUGAUGGUAAGAAAACGUACAUGUCUAUAAAUUUCAAGAUUCUAAAAUAUCGUUGAUGAUCACAUAAAGAACGUAUCACGGGAAUUUAUUUCAUAAAAUUAUUUAUUAAUUUAUUUCAUGAAAUUUUUAAAAUAUUAUCGUUGAUGGCAUAAAGAAUACAUCUCAGGGAGUUAUUUUGGAGAGUAACAAAUGCACUUUACAGAUAACAGGUAAUAUGUUUUAAUUAUUUCUGUAUUUUCUUAAGUCAUACAAAUUUUACAAAUUUUAAUUACCUAAUAUUUCUUUUUUAUUUUAAAAUUUUAUAUUUAUUUUUGUCGAUAAAAUUUUAAAAAUUAUUAUAUAUUUGCAGAUGGACAACAAAUCAUCAUCGAUAACUUAGUUAUGAAGAAUGCCGUUGACCAAUUAUAAAAGAAAUCCAUUGAAUCGUUCAAGACGAAAAAACUUUAAUACAAUAUGUAAAUUUUAAAAUUUAUUUUAUAUAGUUUUGAAUAUUUUACAAUUUAAACAAAGAAAUGUAAAUCUUAAAGUCACGCCAUCUAUGAAACGAAUUCGAAAUUGUUUAUAGAUUCCUUUUUAUUUCUUUAAGAAAAUAAAAUAAUUACAAGAAAUGAUAGAAAUCUGUAAACAAAUAAUUUUACUUAAAAAAUAAAUUUUUAAUUGAAAAUCACAUAUAAUAUUACAAAUGUCUAUUACGACAUGAAUUACUUUCCCUCUCAAAGUGUUAUAAUUAAGAAAAAGAUAAUAACGCGGGUAAUUUUUGAUUAUCUUUUAAUAUAUUUUCGAAUAACUAUAAUUAAGCAUUUUAAAUAAAUUCACAAGUAUUACAAUACUUUUUCCAUAUUUCAUAAUAUAUAAUUGCUUAAAUCGUGAUGAAAUUCACAUUAGGAAUAAAAUAUUUUGAUUUUCAUAUUAAUAAUGAAAAUGUGUGACGUCAUUGACAGUUGUGAGGUUUCGCAUGCUGUGCUAUGGUGCCUAUCUGAAUUUGUAACUGUUGUAGAUAAAAGCAUAGUUAAACGUCGAUAAGAAAACGUGCAAAAUGUCAAAGGAAGCACAAAUCAACAAAUUUUGAAAUUUCAAAAUAUCAUCGUUAAUUUCGUGAAGAGCACAUCGUGAGGAAUUAUUUCGGAGAGAAACAAAUACGUUUUACCAAUAACAGAUGAUUACAGUAUUCAACAAUUUAUGUAAAAAUAAAACAACAUGGAUAAUUGAACAAUGAGAUGUUUCAUCAUGAAGAAUCCUUUAAUUUAGUUAAGACAGUGUUUGUCAAUAGUGACUGAAGGUACCUCGUCAAAUUUCAUACCAUUAUAAGAAUUACAAUCAAAACCUCUAAAGAAAUCAUCGAUAGGAAUUUACAAGAAUAAAUAUCGAGAAUAAUAUCACUUGAAUAAUUGAUGACAAACAUCGGAUAAAGAGCAAAUCAUCAUUGAUGAUUUCCUUACGAAAAAUUUCUGGAACCAAUCAUCGGCAAAGAAGUCGCUGAUAAUUUGCAUCGCCAUUAUGAAUUGAUAUCAUCUAGAAGAGAAAAAGUUUUCCGAAGAAUACAAUACUUACAUAAACAUAUUUCAAUGUAACAAAUGGAAAACAAAUCAUCAUAGACAACCGGAUUAUAAACAAUACCAUCAAUCAGUUAUUGCAAAUUGAAAUUGACGAUUUCAUUCAAAAAAUUAUCAUUACGACUUUGCAGGGAUCAUCAUCAUUUAGACGGAAGAAAAUCACUUGAGAAGUAUAUCAUUUCAAUGGACAGAUUUAAAUAUAGCAAAUGAAAGAAACGACUAUUAUUCAUCGAGUCAUGGUCAACCCUGCUACCAAACAACUAAUGGUGAAAUAAUUAAUAGUUGGACAUGAGGAGAAAUCAUCAGCGAUAAGCUAAUUAUAGAGAAUAUCAUCAAUUGCAUGUAGGACCGUAGAUGGUUUGUUUAGUUACAUAUAAUAAUACCUUCAAAUAUAAUAGACACAAAGAAGAUCCAACUAUAAUUUAAGGACAACAAUCAAUAACGUACGUUUGUGAAAAACAACAUCUUCAUCAAUAAUUGGAAUGAUACAAUUAAUAACAAUAAAGAAGAUUAGGAAAGCUACACAUUUAAUGAAAUUCAUGUACUUUUCAACAUAUUUCUUUAAUUAAAUCGAUACGAUUAUUGAAUUAUAUUCAUUAAAAAUUUUUAAACAAAAACUUACUUUUAUUAUAAAUUUAAGAUUCCUAUUGCUUAUCAUUUACUUUAUAUUUAUCAUAAUAAAGAAAUAAACAAUUAGGACAAUUACAAAAUUUUAUAGUUUUGUAUAUAAUUAACAAAGUUGUAUUAUAUUUUCUUAAAUUAUUAUAAAUCUGGAUAUAAAUUUAUUAAACUUAUAUUGAAC